UACAGAGGUCUCAAGCGUUGUUCAGAUUCAUUGGGCGUAAAGGGUGCGUAGGUGGCGCGCUAAGUCGGGUGUGAAAUUUCGGAGCUUAACUCCGAAACUGCAUUCGAUACUGGCGUGCUUGAGGACUGGAGAGGAGACUGGAAUUCAUGGUGUAGCAGUGAAAUGCGUAGAGAUCAUGAGGAAGACCAGUGGCGAAGGCGGGUCUCUGGACAGUUACUGACACUGAGGCACGAAGGCCAGGGGAGCAAACGGG
rnacentral:rRNA from 1 species